rnacentral:rRNA from 1 species
CUGAACCAGCCAAGUAGCGUGAAGGAUGACUGCCCUAUGGGUUGUAAACUUCUUUUAUACGGGAAUAAAGUGAGGUACGUGUGCCUUUUUGUAUGUACCGUAUGAAUAAGGAUCGGCUAACUCCGUGCCAGCAGCCGCGGUAAUACGGAGGAUCCGAGCGUUAUCCGGAUUUAUUGGGUUUAAAGGGAGCGUAGGCGGACGCUUAAGUCAGUUGUGAAAGUUUGCGG